UAUGUAGGGUGCGAGCGUUGUCCGGAAUUAUUGGGCGUAAAGGGUGCGUAGGCGGUUUGGUAAGUCUGAUGUGAAAUCUAUGGGCUCAACUCAUAGUCUGCAUCGGAAACUGCCGGGCUUGAGUGUGGGAGAGGUGAGUGGAAUUCCUGGUGUAGCGGUGAAAUGCGUAGAUAUCAGGAGGAACACCUGUGGCGAAGGCGGUUCUCUGGGCCUGUACUGACGCUGAGGAGCGAAAGCGUGGGGAGCGAACAGG
rnacentral:rRNA from 1 species